rnacentral:rRNA from 1 species
UACGUAGGGUGCAAGCGUUAUUCGGAAUCACUGGGCGUAAAGGGCGCGUAGGCGGGUCUUUAAGUCCGGGGUGAAAUCCUGGAGCUCAACUCCAGAACUGCCUUUGAUACUGAGGAUCUUGAGUUCGGGAGAGGUGAGUGGAACUGCGAGUGUAGAGGUGAAAUUCGUAGAUAUUCGCAAGAACACCAGUGGCGAAGGCGGCUCACUGGCCCGAUACUGACGCUGAGGCACGAAAGCGUGGGGAGCAAACAGG